rnacentral:lncRNA from 1 species
GGACCAACACGCGAAAAAACAAUUCACUAAGAGAAAAGAUUACAAGGUGAUUACCGACUCCACGGACUUAACCUCUCUUAACCUCCUAUGAAUCUUCGCGCUACCCUCCGGGUUGUCCACGCCCUCACGUCCGAGUCCACGAACGCCUCCACUUCGAAUCCACGAAGCUUCAAUCACGCCGAAUCCACGACGCCACUCGAAUCCACGAGCCCACGAUCCGAAUCCACGAACCGCCUUUGUUCACGCCGAAUCCACGACGCCGUUCAUGAAGAGCAUCAUGACUAUGGUGAUCCUUCGCUUAGGAGUAUCGUAGAAAACCAAGGAAGAAAACUCCAAGCGAAGAGGAGAUCAAAUCGACAUAUAGAGAAGGCGAAACGAUAUCUCGAUUUGAUCUAAAGAGGCUAAUUUGUAGAAAAUAGAUUUAGAAUAAAAUCCGAGCCUCUAGGGUUUCUCAAACAUGUAUUCUUAUGAUACUUCAUCUGUAAGAGAAGCCCAAUAGCUUAUUUAUAGACUUUAGAAUCAAUCGGAGUCGAUUUAGAAAGUUUUCACGGUUUUACACUGUGUACCGGUACACGAAAGGCUGUCACCGGUACAUAAUGACGGAACGAAAAAACGAAGCCAAUGUUGAUGGCUGUACCGGUACGUGGUCAAUUGCUGUACCGGUACACAAUGCAAUUUUUCGUGUUUUGCAUCGUUUCAGGUUCCGCACUGUUCCAAAGCACUUUCUAAUUAACCAAACUUUGAUUAAAUGAUUCUAAUGCCUAUAAUUAAGUGUGAAUCACCAUAACAUGAAUUAAAACUUUACCUGACCAUCGUGAUUCACAUCGUGAGGUAUUUUCUGAUUUUUCCGAAAUCUUGAAUUCUUUGAUCUUUGUCAAAUC